rnacentral:rRNA from 1 species
GAUGAACGCUGGCGGCGUGCUUAACACAUGCAAGUCGAGCGGGCAAUUUAUCUAGCACUGAUUACUUCAAAUGGCUAUCGCCAGUGUAAUCAUGAAUUUCUACCUUUUAAUAAAGAAAAAGAAAUUCAUGUAUGCAAAUAGUGAUAACACAUGAAAGUGGAGUGAUGAGUGCUGGAUAAAUUGCUAGCGGCGGACGGGUGCGUAACACGUGGGUAACCUGCCCCUAUCACUGGGAUAACACACUGAAAAGUGUGCUAAUACCAGAUAACAUAAGCUUUUGGCAUCAUUAGCUUAUCAAAGAAUUUCGGAUAGGGAUGGGCCCGCGUCUGAUUAGCUAGUUGGUGAGGUAACGGCUCACCAAGGCAACGAUCAGUAGCCGACCUGAGAGGGUGAUCGGCCACACUGGAACUGAGACACGGUCCAGACUCCUACGGGAGGCAGCAGUGGG